rnacentral:rRNA from 1 species
UACAGAGGCCCCAAGCGUUGUUCGGAUUCACUGGGCGUAAAGGGUGCGUAGGCGGUCGGGUAAGUCUGAUGUGAAAUCUCACAGCUUAACUGUGAAACUGCAUUGGAUACUAUCCGGCUCGAGGAAUGGAGGGGAGACUGGAAUACUUGGUGUAGCAGUGAAAUGCGUAGAUAUCAAGUGGAACACCAGUGGCGAAGGCGAGUCUCUGGACAUUUCCUGACGCUGAGGCACGAAAGCCAGGGGAGCAAACGGG